rnacentral:lncRNA from 1 species
CGUGAUUUCUAAGUUAUUAUUGUUUUGUAUUAACAUUUGUGACACCAUCUUCAUAUAUUCUUUGACUAUACUAUUAAUUAAUGCAAAAGUUGAUCUUCACAUAUUGAUUUGAAUAUAUCACUUCCAAAUUCAUUAAACCGUUUUAAAUACUAUCUAGAUAUUGAUCCGCGUAACCGCGCGGAUGUUAUUUUCAAUUUUACAUGCAUAUAUAUUUAUUUUAGAUCAUUAGUGGUAUAUAUUUUUAAUUUUAAUCAUAUAUUUAAAUGUUUAUGUAACUA